GGUGUCUGUGGGGGCUUUGGGACUGUGAGGAGGUCGGUAGGAGGGCUGGGUGCUGUACAAGGACAAAGUGUGUGUGUGGUGGGGAGGGGUCUGCAGGGCCGACAGCCAGACCAGGACUUUGUUUUUGCUGUGAGUAUCCCAGGAUUUCCUUCUGGGGCUCAGCCCCAGAUGGUGACACAGGUGGGACUCUGUUCUUCCAUUCCUGAGGUGAGGGAGCACCAGGUAGCUGGACCAAGAGGUGAUUCUGCAGGAUGGUGAGAGCUGCUGUUGCAGUUUGGCACAGGAAUAAGCUGUACAGACACAGGCACUGUAAGGAGCAGCAGUCACAAAGGCAACUUGUCCUGACAGAGGUCCACUGAAAGGUGCUGUUUGCCCACAGGAUGCAGACCCAGCUCUAGAGGAGUCACUGUGUCCUUCAAAAGGAGAUUGAUUUGUGCAAUACUUUUAAUACUCUGAAGAUGAGACUUGAUGGACAGUAAGAAGACAGGGUCGAUUCACUUUUCUUCACUGCCUGGGAUGCCAACAAAAGAAACCAAAGCAAGUUCCUGCCUGCUGAAAUUCCAGGAGCUCUAGCUGCAUUCCAGCACGGCUGAGAGGUGUUUUGAAUCUUUUCUCAUAUGCAUCAGCCCUGCACUGCUCCCAAGAAACUGCACUUUCAGUUAGUUAAUAUUAAUAGUAAUGGAUUGACUACCAAUAGUUCUCAUUAAUUUCCAUGGCAAUAUUGCCUGAAUCAAGGUAACAGUUACUUCAAGUUGUGUAACUAAAGUUCAGAAUGUGAAGGAAUGCAAUCCAGGGAAAGUGCUCAGAUGGAGGGAAGUGACCGACCUUGCAUAACCUCCCUAAGGCCAAACUUCCCUUCAUAUCUUGCAGGCUGUGUUGCUAAUUUUCCAAAAAUAUGGAACGGUGUGCGCUUUCAGCCUGUGUCCUCUGGGCUUCAGUCUCCAGCGUGCCUCACAGCUUUCCUGAAACAUUUCACCCACACAUUUAUUCAUUAAAUUUCUUCUGACAAUGCAUGGCUGGAGCUUCCGUAAGAGAAGAUGUCACAGGAAAAAAAAACAACAGCAAAAAAAAUUUAAACCCAUAUUACUUUCCUCUUCUUUGUUUAUCUUUCUAAGAUUGUUGUUUCUGCAGAAAACAGCUGAGACUACGGAUGAUUUAGGCAUUAAAUUACGGAAUUUUCACUUUCUUAAUAAACUCCAAAUACCUUUAAAAGUCCAAAUAAAGCUUUUCUUGUUACCUGGCCAUCGGGUGAAGUAGAAUAGAGGCAGUCAGUAAGAAUUAAAACGUUUCCCAGAAUCUACAGAGGGAAACGUUAUGAACAAAGAGGAAUCUGAGUGGGCGUAAAUUCCUCGCCCUGCUAUGCCGGUAGGAUUAUAUCUCAGGCUUUCAGAGCAGGAAAAGGAUGUUGCAGGCAUAAUGGCAUGGAAUAUCAAUCAGAUAACUAAAUCUAAUUACAUUUAACUAGUUAACUCCAGUAACAUGGAGGCAACUGGCCAGGUGCCACAACAGAAAUGAGAUUCGGAGGAAUAAUUUCUCAACACAUUAAACAACUUCUUGUAAGGACUAGUUCAGAUCAGACAAGAGGCUACGCUUGACUAACUUUAAAGACACAAGGUUUGUAUCAAAAUGCCAGGACAUGACUCUGAAUUUUAGUACAUUUAUAUUCUGAGGG